UGCUCCCACACCUUCGGAAAAUCCCCUUCAACUCCAUUGACACUCAGCUUUCGUUCAAACGCUUCUGAGAGGCACCCAGAUAAGAAAGGCCGCAAACCCUUUUCUUGAAGCCCUUCAUUUCAUCAGCUCCUCUGGAUAAUUGGAGUAAAUUGAAAGAAUGCACAAAUUAUAUAGGUUCCCGUGUCGUUUGUAUGGGCAUGCUGGCACCAAGAAGGUUCUUGCAGAAAAGGAAGAAAGUAGAAGCUUUCAAAGAUGCUGCUGAUGAAGCCGAGCAGAAGAACUGGAGGAGACUUAUGAAUGAAAUUGAAAAGACAGGUUCUGCAGUUUCUGUGCUCAAAAGUGAAAAGCUCAAGGACAAGACUAUUCCCAAGGAUGUUGUCCUUGGAACUUUGGUUAGAUUUAAGCAACUGAAAAAUGGAACCUUGUGAGCCAGAUUCUCGAAUGGCUCCAGACACAAAACUGGUGGGACUUCAGCAAAAUGGAUUUCCUGAUGCUUAUGACAGCUUAUGGAAAGUAAGGGCACUACACAAGGGCUGAGAAGCUUUUAAGGUUGAUGAAUGAGAAAGGCCGCCAUCCACCAAGGGUAAUAUCUCAUACUGCUCUUAUGGAAGCAUAUGGAAAAGGACGGCGAUAUAACAAUGCUGAAGCAAUAUUUAGAAGGAUGCUGUCUUCUGGGCCUGAACCGUCUGCUGUGACAUAUCAAAUAAUACUAAAGAUAUUUGUUGAGGGAUCUAAGUUCAAGGAAGCUGAAGAAUUAUUUGAGACUCUUUUAAAUGAGGAAAAAUCACCUUUAAAGCCAGACCAAAAGAUGUUCCACAUGAUGAUUUAUACGUAUAAGAAGGCGGGGAGCUAUGAUAAAGCUUGUAAGAUGUUUGCAGUGAUGUCUAAGAGAGGUGUUCCACAAUCGACGAUCACUUAUAAUAGCUUGAUAUCAUUUGAAAAUAAUACAAGGAAGUCUCCAAGAUGUAUAACCAGAUGCAAAGAGCUGAUCUCCGACCUGACAUAGUGAGUUAUGCCUCACUCAUUAGUGCUUAUGGGAAAGCAAGAAAAGAGGAAGAAGCCUUGGCCGUUUUUGAGGAAAUGCUUGAUGCUGGUGUCAGACCUACCCGCAAAGCUUAUAACAUUUUGCUUGACACAUUUGCAGUAUCAGGAAUGGUGGAACAAGCUCGAACUGUCUUCAAAAGCAUGAGAAGGGACAUGUAUACUUCUCAGUACCUUCAUGUUGAUAUACUAUAGUCGGAGUUUCGGAGAUGAGUUACACUUGCUAAACCUUAAAUUCGAAAUGCUCUGUUUUGGUUCCAAUAGGAUUGUUGUGCUAACUAGUGGCAGUAAAUGAAUACUGAGCACCAUGUGCACUUUAUGGGAUCGGCCUAAUAAACAAAACUGGAUAAGAAAAAGUUUCAACUCUGUAAAAUAUUUACGUCGUCUCUCUUUCUUGUCUAGCUCUAUCACGAGCAGAAUGAGUUUAAAAAUAACUGAUUACAUUGACGUAUUAGGUUGGACCUGUUAGUUGUUGGGUUCACUUAUCCUAAGAUUCUAGGACCCAGAAGUCUUGGAUGAUUCAGUAUUUCAUACUUGAUAAGAUAUUUAAAUAAGUAUCAUUUUCAAGCAGGACUUUUCUUGUAUAAUUUAUUUGACAUGUGUUGCCUUUUUUUGUCCAUCCUAUUUACAUAAAUAUUGUUUUGUAGUGAAUUUUGUCUGUUUACGUGUCUGAGCAUGUAUAUGAACGUACUUGAGUUUCCAAAAACUGAUCAUUAUUAAAUCAGAUUGUAAAUCCUACAAACCAGCCAAUGUUGGAUUGGAUUUGAUCGGCAUCCAUCGGGUCGUUCCUCUCGCUACUCUCCCUUCACCAAUUACCUUGACAUUUGUUUGUCGAACGAAAUACCUAGGUCUUGUAUGCAAUUUAUGGUUCUACUGUCUGAUAGAACAUGAAUUAUUAGGUGGCAUAAUGUCAAGUAUCGUAUGUCAAAAACAGUGGUCCAUUUAUAGAUAAUUAAAGAUAUGCCUUUGUUGGAGGGUAGAAAUAGCCCUAUCCCUAAAAAUUUACUCUCUGAUCUGGAUAGUGAACCCUCUGUUUUUCUUUGUUUUUUCUUCAGGUUUAACCUUGAUCUUUGCUCUUAUACGAGGAUGCUAUCAGCAUACGUGAAUGCAUCUGACAUGGAGGGUGCUGAGAAAUUAAUACAAGAUGCAUUUAAACCCAAUAUCAUCACUUAUGGGACGUUAAUCAAGGGAAAUUAA